rnacentral:misc_RNA from 1 species
GGGAGUGAAUGUUGGGUAUCUAAGGUAUCACAUACCUACAAGAUCAUUGUGGUAAAAAUGCGAAUGUCAAGAUAGAUCUAUAGUAAUAAAUAAUGGAUAAGAUUAGGAAUAACCACAUUCGUCAGAUAAUGCAUAUAGCACAUGUUAGAGAUAAAAAGUGUCAAUUAAGAUGAUUGGGUCAUGUUUAACAUAAAGAAUUGAAUGUUCUAGUCUGAAAGUUUGAUAAGUUAGUAGGGAAAAGAGGAAAGGGGAGAGAUAAGAUAACGUGUAAGGAAAUAGUAUCAAAUGAUUUACAAGCUUUUGAUAUUUAUGCGGAUUUAGUGUCCAACAUAGCUGAAUGAAGG